CGCAUGUGGAACGAGCGGCGGACGGGUGAGUAACACGUGGGCAACCUGCCUUGCAGACUGGGAUAACCCCGGGAAACCGGGGCUAAUACCGGAUGACCAAUCAAAUCGCAUGAUUUGAUUGUAAAAGUAGGGACUUGUUCCUUACACUGCAAGAUGGGCCCGCGGCGCAUUAGCUAGUUGGUGAGGUAAGAGCUUACCAAGGCAACGAUGCGUAGCCGACCUGAGAGGGUGAUCGGCCACACUGGGACUGAGACACGGCCCAGACUCCUACGGGAGGCAGCAGUAGGGAAUCAUCCGCAAUGGGCGAAAGCCUGACGGUGCAACGCCGCGUGAGUGAAGAAGGUUUUCGGAUCGUAAAGCUCUGUUAUCUGGGAAGAACAAGUACCGGUCGAAUAGGCCGGUACCUUGACGGUACCCGAUCAGAAAGCCCCGGCUAACUACGUGCCAGCAGCCGCGGUAAUACGUAGGGGGCAAGCGUUGUCCGGAAUUAUUGGGCGUAAAGGGCGCGCAGGCGGUUUCCUAAGUCUGA
rnacentral:rRNA from 1 species